AGAGUUUGAUCCUGGCUCAGAUUGAACGCUGGCGGCAUACCUUACACAUGCAAGUCGAACGGCAGCACGGGAGCAAUCCUGGUGGCGAGUGGCGAACGGGUGAGUAAUAUAUCGGGACGUGCCCAGUCGUGGGGGAUAACGUAGAGAAAUUUACGCUAAUACCGCAUACGAUCUAAGGAUGAAAGCGGGGGAUCGCAAGACCUCGCGCGAUUGGAGCGGCUGAUAUCAGAUUAGGUUGUUGGUGAGGUAAAAGCUCACCAAGCCGACGAUCUGUAGCUGGUUUGAGAGAACGACCAGCCACACUGGGACUGAGACACGGCCCAGACUCCUACGGGAGGCAGCAGUGGGGAAUUUUGGACAAUGGGCGAAAGCCUGAUCCAGCAAUGCCGCGUGCAGGAAGAAGGCCUUCGGGUUGUAAACUGCUUUUGUACGGAACGAAACGGUCUGCCCUAAUACGGUGGGCUAAUGACGGUACCGUAAGAAUAAGCAACCCAGGGU
rnacentral:rRNA from 1 species